rnacentral:rRNA from 1 species
UACGGGGGGGGGCAAGCGUUGUUCGGAAUUACUGGGCGUAAAGGGCUCGUAGGCGGCCAACUAAGUCAUACGUGAAAUCCCUCGGCUUAACCGGGGAACUGCGUCUGAUACUGGAUGGCUUGAGUCGGGAGAGGGAUGCGGAAUUCCAGGUGUAGCGGUGAAAUGCGUAGAUAUCUGGAGGAACACCGGUGGCGAAGGCGGCAUCCUGGACCGAUACUGACGCUGGAGGAGCGAAAGCCAGGGGAGCAAACAGGG